UGUCAUUGGAGAGUGAGCGCGUUCCGAGUAGGUUCUCCACAUGCAAGUGGAGCAGAAAUGUUCAAAAAACAAUGGAAAGCCUUCAUAUUUGAGUGAAUCAUGUGAGUGUGACUCUAUUCAACCUAUUAGAAAAGCUAGUUCUGGGGAGAGGAAGGUGAAUUGGGUGUGCCCCUCAGUGUGUCCUUCGCUUUGCCGGGAUUCAAAGCCAAGGAAACCUGUCUCGUUUUACCCUCUUGCAUAUGGAUAUCAAACCUGCCUGCCAUCUUCAAAAGAUCUGCCAAGUCUGGCAGGACCAAAUGAUAGCUCGCUAAAAGCGAAAACUCUUGGGAAAAACUGUUCAUGGAGAGUGGAAUAGUGAAGGAAACUCCUCGUCGAAGCUCUCCCACGAACACUACGAACAAACUCCAUCCCCAGGGAAGAAUUCCACGCCCAACGGAAGAGAAGCUCUUAGGAUCAAAUAUGGACCAUGACUCCCGCGAUCAUCGUGACUGUCUCCAAACAUUUUCCGAUUGUCAUGAUCGACCUUCGAAUUGGCCCCAAGACACGUCACAAAUAAUCAGAUUGAGGAGAAGAGCAACUCAGUGAUGUAGGCAAACAUUGCUUGUGCUCGUAGAAUAGCAAUCGCUUUGGAAGUGCUGUCAGAUCAAAAACAGCCCAUCAAAUCACGUCAAAUGGGGAGAAUUUGUCAACAGUCUCCCAUCAUUUUAGACGAGGUGACAUGACAUGAACCGUUGGAUGCUCCAAAUGAUCGGGAACAGGCCCUAAAAGGAACAGGCUAAUGCUCUGCGUCAAGAAAUCUGACACCAUGAUUGCCCUUUCACUCUUCGGCCAAAUUUCUCUUUUCGCUCUUGACAAAGAAAAUUUCUGCCUCCCCAGAAGAACCUAGAUUCGCCUCAGCCAUAUUGCUGCCAGCAUCAUCGUAUGUGGAACCGAAUAACCGCAAAUUUGGAUACUAAUUAAACCAGUCUUGGCUUGAAACAAAAGCUUUGAACUUGGUAGUUCCCGUGGUAACAUGUUUUAAAUACUAGUCCAAGCUUUCCAUCGCGAGUGGUUAGUCGCUCACUCUCUCUCUUUUCAUACUGAGUUCUGAAGUUGCCAGUUCGCGUGCUUAUCAUUUCAUCAGUGUUUUCUUCUGGCUCUCAAAGACGCUUUCCACGUUCUCAAGGACGUUCAACCUGUCUCAAACCGUCGUGUAGGGACUAGUUUUGUCAUGGUCUAAAGAAAAAGAUUUUCUUUUUUGAUCUUCUUGCAAGACAAAUUGUCACUAUUAGCAUGUCAGGCCUCAGGUCUGAUUGGCCUCCUAGAGAGUGAGGAAGCUCCAUCAUCCAAUCCUCAGGCCUGAUUAGAACCAAGGCCUUGAUUCGCAUAGUGCGACAAUAGAGAGCGUUCAUUACUGGACCACCCGAGCUUGAUAUCCCUGUUAUCUGCAAUCAAUGCGGAUGAUUUGAGAACUCCUCUGGCCAGUGGAAGAAGUGUGAGCAGUGUUUUUUUCGUAAUUUGUUGGUUGCCAUGAGAUCAGAUCAAAAACUUCAAACAUUAUUUGGACCAUCCCAUGUCUAAGGUAUUCCCUAGACAAGGAAUACUGGCGUAUAAAGAGGAAAAAAGUGGCUAUUCAGUAGGAGUGUAGUCAUUGGCACUUGGUUGAUAUACCUUGGUGGAAAAAAGAACAGGAGCAGAAGAAAAGGGAAGGAAAAACUUUCAGCCAGUGUUCCACAAAAGGGCUGUGGAACAAGAGGUGGGAAGUGUGCUCCCUCACCUGAAGACUGAAGAGUGAAAAACGAAGAAGAAGCUCGAAUCUCAAGGAAGCAAAACACGAAGUUUCUGCCUUCUCUUUGUUUCCUCCAAAAGUUCGACAUGAUUCCCAUGUGUACCACAUUCUUACUACAAGCAGAAGUAACUUGGCAAAGGACAAAGAAAAACCAGGAUCAACAUCGGUGAAGAUAAGUCACGCCUGCUCAAAUUAAUCACAAGACAACGACAAAGUGACGUGCCAGAUUAUUUUUGCUGCGAAUAGAGGCAGCCUUCACGGGGAAAGGCGGACACGUUCCAGUCCUAAUGAGAGGACGGAUUGAAAACUAAGCAGAACAUUUUGGAAGACCUUGAUUGGAGCACUCACUCUUUCUGUAAACAGUUGCCGAUUCCCUCCGUCCUCAAGGGACACAUGCACACUCCUAUGCAACAAUUUGACUCUCAAGCUCACGGCUCUUGUACUUGGUUGUUGUACCUACUUACCUACACCCACCGCACUACCUUAAAAAUAUCACUUCGAUGGGACUCCGUAAUUAGUCAAUGGACCUGAUAGAGAAUAAUCGUAGUAGUUGGGUAGCCAUGAGCUCGACACAAUGGCUGGUGCGACAUUCUCUUGGAUAUAAUAAGAUUAGGUUUCCCAGGUUCCAUACCCAUGGUCCAAGGGGACAUCUUUGACUCGCUGAGGCCACAGACGGAAAUGAUCAGAAAACACUUGGUCCAGAAGUCGGACAUGACGCUGCCUUACCUGAACGCCACGUCAAGUGGAGACAAUCAAGAAAAAGACUCCCGCACACUUGUAUGGAAUAAUAAUAAUGAUAAGAAUUAUCGUAGUUCUGCCAGGAGAUAGUGCUCCAGUUCCCUGAAACACUUCAAUGACAAUCAACCACAGUGCUCUAGAAUAUCGUAGUGAAACGAGUGGUCGUCACCGCUCAGUGAACCUUUUGUACUUUGGUGGC